rnacentral:rRNA from 1 species
CGGAGGAAAAGAAACCAACCGGGAUUGCCUCAGUAACGGCGAGUGAAGCGGCAAGAGCUCAAAUUUGAAAGCUGGCUCCUUCGGAGUCCGCAUUGUAAUUUGCAGAGGAUGCUUUGGGUGCGGCCCCCGUCUAAGUGCCCUGGAACGGGCCGUCAGAGAGGGUGAGAAUCCCGUCUUGGGCGGGGUGUCCGUGCCCGUGUAAAGCUCCUUCGACGAGUCGAGUUGUUUGGGAAUGCAGCUCUAAAUGGGUGGUAAAUUUCAUCUAAAGCUAAAUACUGGCCGGAGACCGAUAGCGCACAAGUAGAGUGAUCGAAAGAUGAAAAGCACUUUGAAAAGAGAGUUAAACAGCACGUGAAAUUGUUGAAAGGGAAGCGCUUGCGACCAGACUCGCCCGCGGGGUUCAGCCGGCAUUCGUGCCGGUGUACUUCCCCGUGGGCGGGCCAGCGUCGGUUUGGGCGGCCGGUCAAAGGCCCCUGGAAUGUAGUACCCUCCGGGGUACCUUAUAGCCAGGGGUGCAAUGCGGCCAGCCUGGACCGAGGAACGCGCUUCGGCACGGACGCUGGCAUAAUGGUCGUAAACGACCCGUCUUGA